CUCACGACCGAAUAUAGUGAUAGUGAGUGAGCGAGAGAAAGAGAGACACAGAGAGGGUGUCAAGGAGAGACAAUUGAUGGCCAGACUGGCCCACAGACAACGGACCCCGAAUGAAUGAAUUGAGUCGUCUGCCUGGAGAGAGGGGAGAGCAGAGCGGAGGCCUGGCAAAAGAUGGAAGAAAAAGUGUAAAAGAUGUGGCCAAUAUGUAAGCAGCUUCUGUUUUCUGUUAUUCUUUCUGUGGUCGAGGCCAAUUCGCUUAUUGAGUUCAUUUACAUUUCACAAAAAUAUCAAAGAUGAAACGAUAUUUUUCCUCUCUCUCUCUCUCUCACUCUCUUGUAAUACAUGUUGGCAGUGCAACAGGCAAAACCAAAUAACAACAAUCGGAAAAGACUGAAUAAACCAAAACAGAAAGUAAUAACCAGUUUAAUGCUCUGCAAAGUUUUAUCCAUUUGAAGAUGGAGAGGAAAAAGACACUUGUAUGGGGACAACUUUCUCUGGAAUAGAGACUCGUCUCUCGUUUGAGAACUGUGCUAAUUUUUGCACCUUUUAACACAAACAAUAAAUUUUCACUUCAUGUUGAGGUAGGUCAAAAGGAUUUGCACCAUACAAAUUUCAGUAAAAUUAACUUGGAGUAGUUUCUCUCUUUUCGAGUGGAGUAAAUGGACUCCUCCUGGCAAGAGUAUGCAAAUUCCAUCUCUGUAACAGCUGCCCAGGCACACACACACACACUUACACACAAACACACACAGAC